AUGUGGUUGUCCAACUCCGGCGGCUCAUGCUCUUCUCCAGUGCACUCUGCCCGUUCAAGAUCGGGAGAAUCGUGGUCCUGCUGGGCCGACAGUGACCUCUCCGAUCCUGCAGGCCACCACCACCGCUCCCCCUGCCAGCAACUCCGCCGACCAGUUGUCGCCGCCUCCGGCAUCGACUCCUGCACCCCUGUCGACGGCUAUGCUGACUGA
rnacentral:rRNA from 1 species